GUCUGUCGUCCCGAAGUUGGACUGGACAAAGCCUGGGAGCGCUUGGAGGAAUGUUUUGGCUCUCCAGAGAUAAUUGAAAAAACACUGUUCGACAGGCUUACAAACUUCCCAAAGGUCAGUAGCAAGGAUCCUGUGAAGCUAAGAGAGCUUAGUGACCUGCUGCAAGAGGUUGAGGCAGCAAAAUCAGAGGGUUAUCUCCCAGGGCUAAGCUAUCUUGACACUGCACGUGGUGUCGCUCCAAUUGUGGACAAGUUACCACACAAUAUCCAGGAAAAGUGGCUCUCUCAGGGUUUUAAGUAUAAAGUUGACCAUAAUGUCAUUUUUCCGCCAUUUUCCUUUCUCUGUGACUUUGUCUGCAGAGAGGCACAAGCCCGCAAUGACCCAGGCUUCAGGCUCUUAGCAUCUACUACAGACCACUUUAGAUCAGAUACUACAGUGAGGAAGCCCUAUAAGGGUUUGGUCUCUGCUCACAAGACGGAAAUAUCACAGGAGAAAGCUGGCCAAGACAGUGUGAGAGAGCAAACCUGUGAUGUGGAAAGACAGUGUCCUAUUCAUAAAAAGCCACAUCCCCUCAAGCGCUGCAGAGGGUUUCGCAAUAAACCCAUUGAGGAGCGUAAGACCUUCCUCAAGGACAACGGUAUCUGUUUUAGAUGCUGUUCUUCCACUAGUCACAUGGCCAAGAACUGUAACACAACAAUCAAGUGUACAGAAUGUGAAAGCAGGAAUCAUAUCUCUGCCCUUCAUCCAGGACCACCUCCUGCAACUCUCUUUGGUCAUGGCGGGGAGGGCACAGAAGAGACAACUCAGCCUGCUAUAACAUCGACUUGUACCGAAGUAUGUGGAGAGGCUCAGAGAGGAAGAUCCUGUUCUAAGAUCUGCUUGGUAAAGGUUUUCCCAAAAGCGCAGCCAGAGCGAGUGACAAAGGCUUAUGUCGUGCUCGAUGAUCAGAGUAAUCGGUCACUUGCCAGGUCAGAGUUUUUUGAUGUUUAUGGCAUAGAGGGAUCAGAGUCUCCAUUCACACUUCGUACAUGUGCGGGAACGACAGAAAUGAUGGGUAGAAGAGCUACAGGCUUUGUAGUGGAGUCACUAGAUGGAGCCACAUCAGUCAUGCUGCCGACAAUAAUUGAAUGUAAUAACAUUCCGAGUAACAGAGCUGAGAUACCUACCCCUGAGGUGGCAGCAGAACAUGCUCAUCUAAGGCCAAUAGCCCAUCUCAUCCCACCACUCGAUCACAAAGCUGAGAUCCUCCUCUUACUUGGACGUGACCUACUUAGU
rnacentral:lncRNA from 1 species